AUGGAUCGUCUUUUUCUGACUGUGUUCCUCUGUGUUAGCUUGGUGCCGCUUGUUCUCAGCGCAGAUUAUGACUACGUCGUAGGUGGAAAAAACGGCCCUGGAAAUUGGACAGGUAUAUGCGCAACCGGAAAGAAGCAAUCA